rnacentral:rRNA from 1 species
GGAUUUGACAUGCACGGAUUAACCUCUGGAAACAGAGGCGACGCUCUUUGAGUGGAACGUGCACAGGUGCUGCAUGGCUGUCGUCAGCUCGUGCUGUGAAGUGUCGGGUUAAGUCCCUUAACGAGCGAAACCCCUAUCGUUAGUUGCCAACAGGUUAUGCUGGGGACUCUAACGAGACUGCCGGUGUCAAACCGGAGGAAGGUGGGGAUGACGUCAAGUCCUCAUGGCCUUUAUGUCCUGGGCCGCACACGUGCUACAAUGCCGCGGACAAAGCGAAGCAAUACCGUAAGGUGGAGCAAAUCGCAAAAACCGCGGCUCAGUUCGGAUUGGGGUCUGCAACUCGACCCCAUGAAGCUGGAAUCGCUAGUAAUCGCGCAUCAGCAUUGGCGCGGUGAAUACGUUCCUGAGCCUUGUACACACCGCCCGUCAAGUCAUGGGAGCCGGGAGUACCCGAAGCCGCACCGUUUCAGGUGUGUCGACGGUAAGCUCGGUGACUGGGACUAAGUCGUAACAAGGUAGGCGUAGAUGA